GACGAACGCUGGCGGCGUGCUUAACACAUGCAAGUCGAACGGAAAGGCCCUGCUUUUGUGGGGUGCUCGAGUGGCGAACGGGUGAGUAACACGUGAGUAACCUGCCCUUGACUUUGGGAUAACUUCAGGAAACUGGGGCUAAUACCGGAUAGGAGCUCCUGCUGCAUGGUGGGGGUUGGAAAGUUUCGGCGGUUGGGGAUGGACUCGCGGCUUAUCAGCUUGUUGGUGGGGUAGUGGCUUACCAAGGCUUUGACGGGUAGCCGGCCUGAGAGGGUGACCGGCCACAUUGGGACUGAGAUACGGCCCAGACUCCUACGGGAGGCAGCAGUGGGGAAUAUUGCACAAUGGGCGGAAGCCUGAUGCGGCAACGCCGCGUGCGGGAUGACGGCCUUCGGGUUGUAAACCGCUUUCGCCUGUGACGAAGCGUGAGUGACGGUAAUGGGUAAAGAAGCACCGACUAACUACGUG
rnacentral:rRNA from 1 species